rnacentral:rRNA from 1 species
GGGCCCGCACAAGCGGUGGAGUAUGUGGUUUAAUUCGAUGCAACGCGAAGAACCUUACCAGGGUUUGACAUCCUGCGAAUCUCUUGGAAACAGGAGAGUGCCUUCGGGAACGCAGUGACAGGUGGUGCAUGGCUGUCGUCAGCUCGUGUCGUGAGAUGUUGGGUUAAGUCCCGCAACGAGCGCAACCCACGUCUUUAGUUGCCAGCGGUUCGGCCGGGGACUCUAGAGAAACUGCCAGCGUAAGCUGUGAGGAAGGUGGGGAUGACGUCAAAUCAUCACGGCCCUUACGUCCUGGGCCACACACGUGCUACAAUGCUACGGACAAAGGGCAGCAAGUUCGCGAGGACAAGCAAAUCCCAUAAACCGUGGCUCAGUUCAGAUCGUAGGCUGCAACUCGCCUACGUGAAGGCGGAAUCGCUAGUAAUCGCAGGUC